GCGGAGGAAAAGAAACCAACAGGGAUUGCCCCAGUAACGGCGAGUGAAGCGGCAACAGCUCAAAUUUGAAAUCUGGCCCCCCGGGGCCCGAGUUGUAAUUUGCAGAGGAUGCUUUUGGCGAGGCGCCUUCCGAGUUCCCUGGAACGGGACGCCACAGAGGGUGAGAGCCCCGUCUGGUUGGAUGCCGAGCCUCUGUAAAGCUCCUUCGACGAGUCGAGUAGUUUGGGAAUGCUGCUCUAAAUGGGAGGUAUAUGUCUUCUAAAGCUAAAUAUUGGCCAGAGACCGAUAGCGCACAAGUAGAGUGAUCGAAAGAUGAAAAGCACUUUGAAAAGAGGGUUAAAUAGUACGUGAAAUUGUUGAAAGGGAAGCGCUCAUGACCAGACUUGGGCCCGGUGAAUCAUCCAGCGUUCUCGCUGGUGCACUUUGCCGGGCUCAGGCCAGCAUCAGUUCGCCCCGGGGGAGAAAGGCUCUGGGAAUGUGGCUCCUCCGGGAGUGUUAUAGCCCUCUGCGCAAUGCCCUGGGGCGGACUGAGGUCCGCGCG
rnacentral:rRNA from 1 species